CACGUAGGGUGCGAGCGUUGUCCGGAAUUAUUGGGCGUAAAGGGCUCGUAGGCGGUUUGUCGCGUCGGGAGUGAAAUCCACUGGCUUAACUGGUGGCUUGCUUUCGAUACGGGCAGACUGGAGGUAUGCAGGGGAGAACGGAAUUCCUGGUGUAGCGGUGAAAUGCGCAGAUAUCAGGAGGAACACCGGUGGCGAAGGCGGUUCUCUGGGCAUGUCCUGACGCUGAGGAGCGAAAGUGUGGGGGAGCGAACAGG
rnacentral:rRNA from 1 species